ACAGCAGUCGCCACGGUAAUACGUAGGGUGCGAGCGUUAAUCGGAAUUACUGGGCGUAAAGCGUGCGCAGGCGGUUGUGUAAGACAGGUGUGAAACCCCCGGGCUUAACCUGGGAACUGCGCUUGUGACUGCACAGCUAGAGUAUGGCAGAGGGGGGUGGAAUUCCACGUGUAGCAGUGAAAUGCGUAGAGAUGUGGAGGAACACCGAUGGCGAAGGCAGCCCCCUGGGCCAAUACUGACGCUCAUGCACGAAAGCGUGGGGAGCAAACAGGAUUAGAUACCCGUGUAGUCCCUGUCUCUUAUAC
rnacentral:rRNA from 1 species